rnacentral:rRNA from 1 species
UACGUAGGGUGCGAGCGUUGUCCGGAAUUAUUGGGCGUAAAGAGCUUGUAGGCGGUUUGUCGCGUCUGCCGUGAAAAUUCGAGGCUCAACCUCGAACUUGCGGUGGGUACGGGCAGACUAGAGUGUGGUAGGGGAGACUGGAAUCCUGGUGUAGCGGUGAAAUGCGCAGAGUAUCAGGAGGAACACCGAUGGCGAAGGCAGGUCUCUGGGCCACUACUGACGCUGAGAAGCGAAAGCAUGGGGAGCGAACAGG